UUUACAUUAAUUUAUUUUCGUUCCUUUUAAUUUUAACAGAUUAAUUACACAAUCUAUAUAAUAUUUGAAUAGGUUAACCAUAUAGACAAUACAUUUAGCCAGCAAUGUGUAUUAUGUAGUUACGUCAUCCAUAUUUAAAAUACCUAAGGAUAAUUUGAUAUUCCCAAAAUAAACUCAAUUAAUCUAACAUUGGUCAUUAUUAUAUCCAAAAAAAAUCCAAACUUUAGGUUUAAAAAUGUUCACUGCCAACAAUAACAAUAUUAUAUAAAAAAUUGAAUUGGAUUUUGACUUAACUUGCCCAGCCUUGGACGUAGUUAACAUACAAUAUUAUUGUUAGUAGUUGUAACAAUGAUAUUACUUGUAUAGGUAUUAGAGUAUUACUGUACAAGUGAGGCUAAAUAGUUUAGAUAAAAUCUAGAUGAUUUAAUGCAUUUAAAAGGGCGUCAUACCCACAUGUGCUAUCUCCGUCCAAUUAAUAACAACGAGCAAUAUAGCAAAAUAUAACAUACACAGACUACAAAGAACUUGUUUAAUUUUGCUUUUAAAGUAAAAUCAUCCAUAAUAAAAUUAAAAGAUGACAAUAAUCCAGAGGGCAAGAUAAUGCGUUUUUCUUAUUGUUAUAACUAUUAUUCUGAAUACAACGUUUAAUACAUCGUUAAGAAAUAAAGCCUAAUUCAUGAUUUCUAAACAACUGUGAAAUUUCGAAAAAUGAAUUUAAAAAAAGAAACGUCCUGCCUUGAUAUCCAGAAUAUUGUCGUCUUUUUAUUUUAUGAUAGGUGAUUUUACUCAAUAUUGCUCGUUAGACGCAGCAGUACAUCAUGCGGAUAUAAUGUCCUCCUAACAAUGCAUACUACAAGUGUAAUAUUCUAAUUUAACAUUCAUAAAUUCAAUGUAUACAAUAUUAAUAUUAUACCUGAUUUAAAAAUGUAUGGUAUAGUGAUUUUGUUGGUUUGUUCAUAACAUGCCUAUUCACAAUGCGCUACACUGCCCAUAUUCUGUUACAUAAGAUAGGAAUAUUCAUAUUGUUAUUAUAUUAUUAUAUUUCAUUUUAUACAAUAGUAGCUAUAAUACACGUUUAAAAAUUAUACAUGUAUAAAUAUAAUAUGAAAUAUUAUGACAUUAAUUUAAUAUAUUAUACUAAAUUAAUAUUAUAAUACGGGUAGAUAGCUAUGAUUUUAUUGUUAUUUGAAAUAUACUAAAAACAAAUAAAUAUUGAAUUAUAUUACCAUAUACUAUAAUAAACC